GACGAACGCUGGCGGCGUGCUUAACACAUUCAAGUCGAACGAAGUGGCGAACGGGUGAGUAACGCGUAAUCAACCUGCCCUUCAGAGGGGGACAACAGUUGGAAACGACUGCUCAUACCGCAUACUGAAGGAGGGGAUUGCGUCGGACUAGCGAGUUGGAGGGGUAACGCCCCACCAAGGCGAUGAUCAGUAGCCGGGCUGAGAGGAGAAACGGCCACAUUGGGACUGGGACACGGCCCAGACUCCUACGGGAGGCAGCAGUGGGGAAUCUUCCGCAAUGGGCGAAAGGCUGACGAAGCAACGCCGCGUGAGGGAUGACGGCCUUCGGGUUGUAAAGCUCUGUUAAUCGGGACGCGGUACCGGAAUAGAAAGCCACGGCUAACUACGUGCCAGCAGCCGCGGUAAUUC
rnacentral:rRNA from 1 species